rnacentral:rRNA from 1 species
GGGCUGGAUCAGCGGCGGACGGGUGAGUAACGCGUGGAGACGUAUCCUGAAGAGGCGGAUAACCAGCCGAAAGGCUAGCUAAUACGCCAUAAGCCUGAGAGGGGAAAGGUGCAAAAGCAUCGCUUUAGGAGCGGUCCGCGUCCCAUCAGCUAGUUGGUGAGGUAAAGGCUCACCAAGGCGACGACGGGUAGCCGGCGUGAGAGCGUGGCCGGCCAUAAGGACACUGAGAUACGGGUCCUACUCCUACGGGAGGCAGCAGUGCGGAAUUUUGGUCAAUGGGCGAAAGCCUGAACCAGCGACGUCGCGUGCGGGACGAAGGUCUUCGGAUAGUAAACCGCUGUGGUAGAGGGAGAAUACCGGGCAGAGUGGAAAGCUGUUCGGGGGGACGGUACUCUACUAGGAAGCCCCGGCUAACUACGUGCCAGCAGCCGCGGUAACACGUAGGGGGCGAGCGUUGCCCGGAAUCACUGGGCGUAAAGGGAGCGUAGGCGGCCUGACAAGUCUACUGUGAAAAGCCAGAGCUCAACUCUGGUCUUGCGGUAGAAACUGGCAGGCUUGAGGCUGGUAGAGGAAGACGGAACAGCUAGUGUAGGGGUAAAA